rnacentral:ribozyme from 1 species
GGGGUGCUAUGUCGGUUACCUCCUCGUGGGGCACCCUGGGCAACGGGACGGGCAGCAGCAUCACAGUCGUGGUGCUGCUGCUCGUCGCGGCUAAUAAACCGACA